UGAGUUGGAAUUUUGAAGAGGAUUGCAUUGAAUCUGUAGAUUGCUUUUGAUUCUGCAGCAAAACUUGCAUCUUCCUACACUGACAGAGACAGUUCACAAGAUUGCUACAAUAAGUCUAGUCUAAGCCUCUGUUGCAGCCACCACCACCAUACCAUAUGAAAUUACGGACAACAAUGACUGCAGAUGAAUGUGGAUUAGCCUUGGACAGAGCCAAUUGUGGGUUACAUAUUAAAAAUGUUU